rnacentral:rRNA from 1 species
AUUGAACGCUGGCGGCAUGCUUUACACAUGCAAGUCGAACGGUAACAGGUUAAGCUGACGAGUGGCGAACGGGUGAGUAAUGCAGCGGAACGUGCCCGGUCGUGGGGGAUAACGCAGCGAAAGCUGCGCUAAUACCGCAUACGAUCUACGGAUGACAGCGGGGGACCGUAAGGGCUCGCGCGAUCGGAGCGGCCGGUGUCAGAUUAGGUAGUUGGUGGGGUAAAGGCUCACCAAGCCAACGAUCUGUAGCUGGUCUGAGAGGACGACCAGCCACACUGGGACUGAGACACGGCCCAGACUCCUACGGGAGGCAGCAGUGGGGAAUUUUGGACAAUGGGCGAAAGCCUGAUCCAGCAAUGCCGCGUGCAGGAAGAAGGCCUUCGGGUUGUGAACUGCUUUUGUACGGAGCGAAAAGGUCUCCUCUAAUACAGGGGGCUCAUGACGGUACCGUAAGAAUAAGCACCGGCUAACUACGUGCCAGUCGCCGCCGUAA